CACUCAGUAGUUUACUACUGUAAAGGAGACUGUUAGUCUGUAUAGCUUAAUCGCUGAUGAGCAGCUGGUCUCUUUUUCUCCACCCUUGUCUUUUGCGUACCCAUGUUUCCUCGGCAGGCUUGCCUGUCGAUUGGACAAUUCUAUAACCUUUUUAAUCUUCAAUCAGCGUCUGAAAAAAACGUAAUAAUUA
rnacentral:misc_RNA from 1 species